UACGAAGGGGGCUAGCGUUGCUCGGAAUCACUGGGCGUAAAGGGUGCGUAGGCGGGCCUUUAAGUCAGGGGUGAAAUCCUGGAGCUCAACUCCAGAACUGCCUUUGAUACUGAAGAUCUUGAGUUCGGGAGAGGCGAGUGGAACUGCGAGUGUAGAGGUGAAAUUCGUAGAUAUUCGCAAGAACACCAGUGGCGAAGGCGGCUCACUGGCCCGAUACUGACGCUGAUGCACGAAAGCGUGGGGAGCAAACAGG
rnacentral:rRNA from 1 species